rnacentral:ncRNA from 3 species
GGUGAACCUGCGGAAGGAUCAUUAACG